CUAGCCAGCGCCAGAAUUAAACCUCAGAACGCAGCGCAUCCACCCGGGCCCCGCAGCCAAGGCAAAGGCGAAGAAGUCGGGCGAGAGUGGGAAGCCUCAGACGGCAGGUGCUUGAGCGGGACAGUCUCCCAGGUAGCCAGAAACUUGCCGCGGUUCUCUGGACUGGCAUUGUGUCCUCCGUGAGUUCGCUCCUGCUCCUCAAGACAGAAUCCUGGGUGGAAAGGAGAGGAUUCGUGUCCAGGAGGUUUGAGGUUUGGGGUACUCCAAAGACGACGCAGUGCCUGCCUCCGAAGCUGAGGACCGAGCUAAGACGGUACUCGAUUCAGAGCAAUCUCACUGGGUGCAAGAGACCGAGUCUUCUUUCACAUUGAAGAUUUUAAUAAACAGGACAAGGACCGACUUUAUAAAAACCAAGAAUAACCAAGACAAAAAACAUUAAUGCCAGCUCUCUAAUGCCAACCUCCCUGAUUUUCUUGGGGGAGGGAGGAGGGCUCUCCCUAGCUUCUAGUACUGCACACACCCAGCGGGGCCUUAAACAUGUGACAGUAUAUUUGCAAGUAGGUUAAAGUGAAGAGUCAUUAAACCUCACAAGGUGAAAUGCUGGCCUCUGAAGAAAAGAAGCCGUGAAAUCAAUGCUUCCCUACCUGUUGGUGGCAAAGAACACCUGCAAAUUCCUGAAAUUGAUGACCCCUGCCUGUUAAGAGGACAGGCAAAGGGCAGCUCAAAGAUAACGCAGACAAGAAAUCUUAUUUUUAGUCUUAGCUCCUUUGCCAGCUCACCAGGUGACAGUAAUCGAAUUGUUCCUUCUGGGCCUCAGUUUCUUCAUCUGUAGAAUAGGGUAUAUGGAUUCAGUGGGUCAUCUCUUAAAUCUCAACCCGCAAAUGUCUAUAAUUCUAUGAAAAAAAUACUUCUUCCCAAGGUAAUGAGAGGGGAGGGGAGAAUCAGGCAGGAGCGUUCCUGCAUACACGAAAUACCCUGCACAUUUAGUAAGUAUUCCUAUUUCCUUACAUUUAGUAAGUAUUUCAUAGGCCUCAAAAGUAAGCAAACCUAAUCAAAAAAGUAUGGUAGAUUUUUCAGGGGAUUUAUAUUAAAAAUUUACUUCAUUCUUAGUAAUGUUUUUUAUGGAGAUACAAUUCACAUACUGUAUAAUUUAAUCUUAAACUGUAUAAUUCAAUGAUUUUGAAUAUAUUCACAAAAUUAGGUAACUAUCGCCACUAUCAUUCCAAUAAAAAAUCCAUUAUAGUUUUUCCCUAGCCCUCACUACCCUUAGCUCCAGACAACCACUAAUCCACUUUCCCUCUUUAUGGAUUUGCCUAUUCUGGACAUUACUUAUAAAUAGAAACACAAUAUGUAGCUUUCGGGUCUGGCUUCUUAAAUUUAACAAUAUUUUCAAGGUUCAUCCAUGCUGUAGCAUGUAUCAGUACUUCAUUCCCUUUUAUAGCCGAAUAAUAUUCCAUUUUUGGAUAAUACCACACUUUGAUUAUCUAGUCAUACCUUGAAAGACAUUUUGGACUAUUUCUAUUUUUUGGCUCUUAUGAAUAAUGCUGCUAUGAACAUUUAUGUACAAGUUUUCAUGUAAACAUGUUUUCAUUUCUUGAGUAUAUAUCUAGAAGUAGAAUUUCUUGGCUAAAUGAUAACUCUAUAAUUAACUUUUUGAGGAACUAACAAGCCUUUCACAGUGGAUGUACUAUUUUACAUUCCCUUUAUAAGGGUUCUAAUUUCUCCAAAUCCUUGACAACAGUUGUUAUUGUCAUAUUUUUAAUUGUAUGUAUCCUAGUGGGUAUAAAGUAGUAUCUGGUGGUUUUCAUUUGCAUUUCCUUAAUGACUAAUAAUGUUGAGCAUCUUUUCAUAUCUUUAUUAGCUAUUUGUAUAUCUUCUCUGGAGAAAUGUCUAUUCAAUCCUUUGCCCAUUUUUAAAUUGGGUUAUGUGUCAUUUUAUUGUUGCAUUGUAAUGGGACUUAUUUAUAUCUGAUAAGUGAUGCCAGUCCUUUAUCUGGUACAUGAUUUGUAAAUUUUUCUCCCAUUCCGUGAGUUGCCUUUUCACUUUCUUGAUAAUGUCCCUUGAAACUCAUACUUUUUAAUUUGGUAGUCAUAUAUUUUUACAAUAUAACAUAAACUUACACUUAUAAGCUAACACAAGAGUUUUUCAGACUAAAAGUAAUGCAUGCCUAUUUUAAGAAAAACUUUGGAAAAAUAUUAAAAAGGAUAAAGAAAAAAUAA